AGUAGUAAUACGACUUGUAAACAAAUAAAAACAAUAUUGUUUCUGUCAACAUACUUGUAUUUAUUAUAUUAUUAUUUUCGAUUUGUCUUUUUAUACAGAUUGUGCAUUUUCGAGUAUUAUAAUUUGUAAUAUUGUAUAUCCAACAUUCGGAGGGAAUGUUUAUCGAUGCGUUCGUGAGGGUAUUUCUGAUAGCUAUUCUCCAUG